GACGAACGCUGGCGGCGUGCUUAACACAUGCAAGUCGAACGGAAAGGCCCUGCUUUUUUGUCGUUCUCGUGUGGCGAUCGUGUGACUUACACGUGCGUCACCUGCCCUUGUCUUUACCCUAUCUUCCGGUAACUGGUGCUAAUUCCGCAUCGGCUCUCCUUCUGCUUUGUGUGGUUUGUUUUUUUUCUGCGGUUGGGGAUGGACUCGCGGGUUAUCAGCUUGUUGGUGGGGUCGUGGCUUACCAAGGCUUUGACGGGUAGCCGGCCUGAGAGGGUGAACGGGCACAGUGGGACUGAGAUACGGCCCAGACUCGUACGGGAGGCAGCAGUGGGGAAUAUUGCAGAAUGGGAGGAAGCCUGAUGCAGCAAAGCCGCGUGAGGGAUGACGGCCUUCGGGUUGUAAACCGCUUUCGGCAGGGACGAAGAGUGAGUGACGGUAAUGGGAAAAGAAGCACCGGCUAACUACGUG
rnacentral:rRNA from 1 species